CCCGGCGGGUGCGGGCAGCGCUCGGGGGAAGGGGCGCCGCUCUCCCCCGGCCCGGCGGGCAGCCGCGGCCAUCCGGGGAGAGCCCGAGCGGAUCCCGGCGGCGGGGCCGCGGAUCAGCACCACGGACAGCGCCCGGCGGGGCCGCGCCGGGACACGAGCCCGGCACCGGGAAGCGGCACCGCGCACCGGCGGGUGCGGGCAGGACUCUCCCGGGACAUCACCGCCCACCCAGAGCCACCGAGGCGGCGCUGGAUGUUCGCCGGGGCCGGGUUCUCACCCAGUGCUGACGAAGGUGGGCUUGGAGCUCUGAGCAGGUUUUACGUGACCUCAUGAGGGGCUGCACAGGAGCAGUUUUCCUUUUUGUUAACACGAGCAGAGAACCGAAGAAGCGAUCUCUCGAAGGAUCCCGGCUGGCAGCAGUAUCACCAUCUGACUGAAGAGAACUCAGCCACACGCAUAAUCCUCGGGAAAAUUCAUCUCCACCCUCCCGCAGACCCCGGUGAGAGCCCUUGAAGUGGUAAUUAAAGUCUAUUGAGUGGCAACUGCACCUGUUUAGAGAGGAGAGUGCGAGGAAGAGGUGCACAAAGGGAGAUGAGCAGCGGAGAGAGGAACUGCUGGAGGUGGGGAGGAGGAGAAGUGGAAGGAAGGAAGGAGGGAAAAGGUGUUUGUUGAAGUCGAUCCAAUCUGCUGUGCAUUUCCAUCCUGCCCU
rnacentral:lncRNA from 1 species